rnacentral:rRNA from 1 species
GGUAAAAAAGCUCGUAGUUGGAUUUCUGUUGAAGAUGACCGGUCCGUACCACGUACGCGCAUCUGGUUCGUUUUCGGCAUCCUCUCGUCGCACAGGUCUGCGCUUUAUUGCGUGGUCUGGGUUACGGGACUUUUACUUUGAGGAAAUUAGAGUGUUCACGGCAGGCUAUCGCCAGAAUACAUUAGCAUGGAAUAAUAUUAUAGGAUCUUGGUUCUAUUUUGUUGGUUUCUAGGACUGAGAUAAUGAUUAAUAGGGACAAUUGGGGGCAUUCGUAUCAUGACGUCAGAGGUGGAAUUCUUGGAUUGUCAUGCGACGAACUACUGCGAAAGCAUUUGCCAAGGAUGUUUUCAUUGAUCAAGAACGAAAGUAAGGGGAUCGAAGACGAUUAGAUACCGUCGUAGUCUUUACCAUAAACUAUGCCAACUAGGGAUGGGGCAUCGUUCAUUUUCGACUUGCUCCGCACCUUAUGAGAUAUCAAAGUUUUUGGGUUCCGGGGGGAGUACGCUCGCAAGUGUGAAACUUAAAGGAAUUGACGGAAGGGCACCACCAGGAGUGGAGCCUGCGGCUUAAUUUGACUCAACACGGGAAAACUCACCAGGUCCAGACAUAAUAAGGAUUGACAGAUUGAUAGCUCUUUCUUGAUUUUAUGGGUGGUGGUGCAUGGCCGUUCUUAGUUCGUGGAGUGAUCUGUCUGCUUAAUUGCGUUAACGA